ensembl:lincRNA
CUAGUAGAAGCAUUUUAAACUUUGAUAUCACUAUCCAUCCUGAAGAAAAUAAGCUUUCAUCAUAACCCUUUCUAUUAGGGAGCAGGAAUCCAUGGACUGCUUAUGCACAGAGGCCUGAUGAGAUGAAAGCUAUGGUUUCGGAAGAAUUUACACGUUGGGUGUUACACAUAUGAGACGCUGACCUUGGCAUUGGAAUGCAUAGAACAGAGGCAUGCCCUCUAUCUUCCAGGAGUGGAUAAACUGGAGAUAACUUCUAGCACUGUAUCACAUGCCUACCAAUCCUAACAGUCAGGAGGCUGAAGCAGGAGGAUCCCAAGAUUGAGCCGUCAGCUCAGGUAACUUAGUGACCUAGUGAGAACUGUCUCAAAAUAAAAAAGAAAGGAAGGAAAAAAGGCUGGGUAUAUUGCUCAGUGUGAAGGCCCUGGUUUCAACUCUCAGUACUAAAAAAAAAAAAAAAAAAAAAAAGGAAUGGGGGAGAGGGGGAAAGUUCUGAUAACUGGUGAGAAACAGGCAAAAUCAGAAAAUCACGAAUAGACCCCACUAUCAAUACUUCUGCAACACUAGGUAUAUAAUGCAAAACUAUUUUAAGGAAAAUUAGCACAAAAAAUAAGAAUU